CGGCAUGCAUCGCUCACCCCGACCGGCGGAUCGCCAAGGGGCCUACAGCUCCCGGCAUGCUUGGCUUCGCUUGGGCACUCGCAGUUGAGGGAGACUUGAACUUGGUGAAACUUUCCCACGCAACCAGCCCAAGACGGGCCCUGGGCUGACUUUAGGCCGGAGACCAUUCAGCAUACGGGGCCUGAAGCCUCGCUCUGGGUUGAGACAGCCCCUGGUUGCUGUUGGGGGUGGGGGAGGCUUAUCCUACUGGCCCAUGAUGGGGGAGGAGGGGGGAGAAGAGGCGCUGCUGCAAUGUUUCUGGUGCGCGUGGAGUCGUUCCGGCCCUUCCCGCACAUUUGGGCCCUUCUUUCAGGUGGCGAGGAACGCCCCCCCCGCCGGCACUAGGUGAGAAGGCAAGAAGAUGAGGUUUGUGUGCAGUGUGGAGCAACAGCAGGGCCACUUGAGUUCCAGUUGUGGGCAAACCAGAGGGCCAGCUCCUCUCGGCUAGUGGCCAAUGUCCGGUGACCCAGAGAGAACAGGCAAUCAUCAACUGAUCCAUCCCCUGUCACCUAUUCCUAGCCUCUGGCGAACAGAAGCUAAGGAUACUAUGGCUGCCCAUGCUGUCUAAUAGCUACUGAUGGACCUAUCCUCCCUGAAUUUAUCUAGUUCUUUUUUGAACCCUCUUAUAGUCUUGGCUUUCACGUCAUCCUCAGGCAAGGAUUUCCACAGGUUGACUAUGCAUUGUGAGAAAAAAUUCUUCAUUGUCGUUGUUUAAAACCUGCUGCCUAUUCCUGCCUGGGCCAGGAACGGUACAACUACGUUGAAUGUGAAGACGAGGUCAUAGGCGUCCUGUCAACUACAGCAGUGGAGCGAAUGUUGACUAGUGCAUAAGGGAGCGGUAGUUCCAAGGUGGCAGUGUACUGGGAGCUGUAGUCUCUUUCUUUGAUCUAAAUGGAACAUUGCAUAGUAGGAGGUGUAGUUAGUUCACCGCUAAUCUCUAGCUCAUAAAGGCAGCAUGGGUGUCAGCUACUCUGUUUAACCCAAGUGAGGUACAGGCCCCCCCACCAGUUCCCAGAGAUAGUAGGUGCUCACUUUCCCCAGAGUAGAGCUGUAGUCCACAAAAACAACAAGGAGUCCAGGGGCAUCUUACAACCUAACAUUAAUUGGGCAUAAGCUUUGGUGGGUAAAAAACCCACUUCUUCAGAUGCAUGGCGUGAAAAUUACACACAUGCUGUAUCUGUAAUUUUCACACUAUGCAUCUGAAGAAGUGGGGUUUUUACCCACGAAAGCUUAUGCCCAAAUAAAUCUGUUAAUCUUUGAAGUGACACCUGCCUCAUUGUUUUUGUGGAUAUAAACUAACAUGGCUUGAUACUUGGCCUUGAUACUUGGCAGCUGUAGUCCAGUGGCUCUCAACCUUUCCAGACUACUAUACCUCUUUCAGGAGUCUGACUUGUCUUAUGUACCCCCCAAAUUUCACCUGACUUAAAACUACUUGCUUACAAAAUCAGACAUAAAAAUACAGAAAUGUUACAGUACACUAUUACUGACAAAUUACUUAAAUUUCUUAUUUUUACCAUAUAAUCAUAAAAUAAAUUAAUUGGAAUAUAAAUAUUGUGUUACAUUUCUGUGUAUAGAAAAGUAUAAACAAGUUUUUGUAUGAAAUUUUAGUUUGUAUGGACUUUGCUAGUGCUUUUUCUGUAGCCUGUUAAACUAGGCAAGUAUCUAGAUGAGUUGAUGUACCCUCAAAGCUACAUGUAGCCCUGGUUAGGAAUCUCUGCCAUAGUCCAUAGCUAGGAAGAGAGUUUAUGUCCUAGACCAAGUUUCACAUACUCCAGAGUGAUUUUUAAUCUGUUUAGUUUGAAUUACUCACUGUACUAUUUAGCAUCAACAAGGGCCCUGAGAAGGGAGAUGAGAUUGUAAACUCUGCACAGAAGGAAGUAGCAUUUUGGGUUUGUUUUAAUUGUUAUUGUACAUAGCCCACAACAGCAUCCUGGUCUACCAGUAGCAACCCGUUAUACUAUUUGUAAUAUAAAUAAUUAAGGUUUCAGAGCAUCAGCCGUGUUAGUCUGUAUUCGCAAAAAGAAAAGGAGUACUUGUGGCACCUUAGAGACUAACCAAUUUAUUUGAGCAUAAGCUUUCAUGAGCUACAUCCGAUGAAGUGAGCUGUAGCUCACGAAAGCUUAUGCUCAAAUAAAUUGGUUAGUCUCUAAGGUGCCACAAGUACUCCUUUUCUUUUUACAAAUAAUUAAUUCGUUUAAAACUGUUUAACAUUCUUAGAUGGAAGGAAAUAUUGCAUUGUAAUUACGUGGGUGUUAGGGCACAGGUUUAAGGCCAAACAACCCAACAUUAAGUGUUCCAGUUCCUGUCCUGCUGAACUUUAUACCUUUUUUUUCCCAAAUAAAAUAGUAAGGAACUUUUAAGUAAAGUUCAUACUUAGAAAGCUGCUAUUGUAUACUUCAAGAGAAUGAAAAACUGCAAUAAAGAAAAAUACAGAAUUUAACUGGUCCCUGCUGAGGAGUUUUAGGGAUUGGAGAGUUUUAAGUAUUGACUUUGAAAUAGCAGCCAGUGUGUUAUACACUCUGACUACAAAGCUUCUGCCUGAAAGAGCAUACAGUCUUAUACACACACACACACACACACACACAAAGGGUAGAAUAUUAAAAAAUAAGGCCUAUCAGUUUAUGGAGACUUCUUUUUCUCUGCUUAUUCAGUAUUUGAAGUUGAGGGCCACCAUCAUCAUUAGCUUUUAGCAUGGUUAAGAUUGUGGACUGCUGUUCUGUAAGAAGUCUUGCUUUAAAACUAUUGUACUGUUCUGCUGUAUAAGUAAGAAAUGUAUGGCACACUGACAAAUAAAAAAUAAAAAACGCCAGUACCAAAUGGGUCGAAUGGUCAAAAGGGAAGUGAAGAAACCAAAAGGUGCCAACCUAAUUAUCAGAAUUGCUCUGAUGGCUGAAGCAGCAGCAAAUUAACAACCCUAAAGCAAAGGCAUAAGCUCCCAAUAAUAAAAAUAAGUAGUAAAACCAAAAAAAGGAAUAAAAAAACCCAGCAACUCCCAGUAACGACCCAUAAUCAUGCUGAUUGAAAGCAACCUUAACUGUUGCCUUUUAACAACCUCAGCAUAACACAGCAAGGCUCAAACUUGCAUGGCAACUUAUUACUAUAAAAAAAGGGUGGAUUACCAUGGGACUUUAGGUUCGUUCUGCAUUGACAUCAGAGCUUCGGACAUGUCAGACAGAGACCCAGCUCCGCCCUCUCCCUCGUGUGUAGUUUCAGCUGGCCACUGGAAUUGACCAAGCAAUGCUAAGAACUUGUAACUAUAAGAUCCAGCUGCAGAACCUUUGGCUGAUGUGUGUGUAUACUCAAUUUUAAUGUUUAAAUUGUACUUGCAAUAAAUGUGGUGUAUUGCCUUAUCCCCUAAAAAAAUUCUGUGUGUUUAUGAGCAUAAGAUUUUUGGUGGAGAAUAGUGGAGGGGGAACAUGGUGAUACACCAUGCUUGUUUUAAAGUUUUGCCUACAGUAAAAUAAAAUUGAUCGAUCAUUGUAGAAGUUGGUGUGCACACCCUCAGUUGUAGCGAGCUGAGUAAAUAGGCUCAGGAGAAUUUAAAGUUUCUCGCUCUAACCCAAGCACCGGAGUAAACUCCGAAGGGUAUAGGAGCGUCAGGCGGUAUUUCCUGCAUUCCUUGUGUAAGACCGAGCUCUGAAGAAUAUAGGAGCGUGGGCAAAUAGUGGUACACAAGGCCAUAGCCUGUAAAUUGGCACCUUCAUAUAAAUGUUUAAAAGGAAACAAUCUAAAGAUGAUGCCUCCAAGGAAGGACUGGGAUCACUGUGUUUUGUUCACGAGAUUACUCCUUUUAAACAAAUCUUGCAAAAAUACAGGCAUAGGCCAUGGACCGAACAGGUACUGGCAAAUGUCCACACUAUUUCGGAUCUAGAAGAUAAAUUUGCCAAAUAUAUACGGGUAUAUAAACCUUCGACCCCGUAUAUAUUUGGCAAAUUUGGCUACAAUGGGAGGCAAGCAAUGAGUCACAUCUCUGUCUGACUGCUUGCUGAGAGGAGAAUGCAUCCCUGUAGAAGAAGUUUUCCCAAGCAGAAAAAAAGAUCAAGAAAUGAAAGGAACAGGAAUACAGAGUCAGAUUCCCGUCGGGACACAUUUAGAGAAGGGAAACAAAGGGAAAAAAAGUUAGCAGAAGAGGUCAGGAAAAAGAAUAAAAAAAAAGAAUUAAGUAUUACAAGAAAUGGUUACAAAAUUAACCUUAAAACGAGGCAGAGCCUCUGCCAAUCAUAAUCACUCUGAACCCAUUAAACACCUUAAGCAAAAAUUGGAAUUCGCAACCCGCCAACGAGCAGCGGUAACGGCAGGAAAAUGGGGUGACAGCCCGCAAGACGGCACCUCUAGCUGGGAUAAACCAUGGGGUCCCGAUGAAGUAUGGGACGGAAAUAUUUGGAACAAUUCUAAAAGGACCGGACUUAAAAACCCUGUCACAGCCAUAAAACGAACUGCGACCACCAAAGUAAGAGACCGGGGGGACCAAGCACUAUCACAACGCCUGUAUCUGCCUCCAAUCUCCAAGCCAUGUCAAAAUGGUUAGAACCCCUAACUCAAAAUUUUUUUUCUAAAUGAAGUUUAAAUGAGCUCCAACUUGCAGGUCAACAGAGUCUAGAAGCAACCCAAGUGCAGCACCUAAUAAGUAUCUGUACUGCACCUGAAAUUCGGGGGGGAGGGGGGGGGGUCAUUAACAGAAUAGUAUGUGCAGUGGACACAAAUCUCAUAGUGCUACUGACAGCUUUUGGGGAACAGAUGGACUGCUGCCACUUAAUGGCACAAGCGAUACUAAUGGCCCAAGAGCCCAAUGAGAUAAGCAUAACUAUACCCUUUGAACCUAAACACCACAUGUAGAAGGAAUUCAAAAAUAUGAAGCAUGGUUGUGGCCUAGACAGCUAUUUCCUAUUUGUUUAAUUUGCAUAUAUGGUUUCAUUUUGCACAAAUAGUAGCCCAUUUCCCUCCCCCACCCCCCAAAUCCCGUCUGCCUAUAACCAUCACUAACAAACUUAGUUUUGUUUUGCGUACUUGUGACACAAAUUGUACCCACUUGACUCUGAAAUUAACACCUGGAGUAAAUGUUCUUAUUAAAUACUGGUACUCUGGCAGACAAAAAACAAGGUACGAGUCUUUUGAUUUUACAGAUUCCAAGCAGAACACCACUAUUUUAAAAUUUACUUUUCUGUAAAACAUGGCAAGAGUCUACAACCUUUCAUAACCUUAGAUUUGCCAUAAUACGUUGAGCCAUUAAAUCCAACGUCAUCCUUCCCAAAAUAGCCUUCAGGUGUUCCAAAAGGAAGGCAAAAAACCAGCAGCAUUACGCAGCGGACCAAUUGGACAAGGUUGUACUGGAAGCUUUUAUUCUUAAGCCACUGUAAAAUCAAACUUACAAUCAGAAUGCUGCAUGAGAUUUAACCAUCACUACCAAAUGUUAUGCAUAAUCACUAAUAUCUCUAGGAGGCUAAGCUUUCCUCAAUCUGUAAGUCUUUUGGGGGUGGUUAAGAAGCAGCAAACUGCAGAUUUUUAUAAUAAAAACAAACAUAAAAUGAUUGCAAAAUUACGGUUUGAUGCCAAAAAUAAUCUUUAUAGUCUUUUUCUGGAAGGGAAAAUGCCAGCUAGAUCAGGUCAAUCUGUUCUGCCAGAAAAAGGUGUUGGGAGGAAUUUUCUAUUCAGAAAUAUUUAUUUUCUUAAUACAUCAGAUAAAAAAAUACCUGCAUUCAAAAGUUACAAUGUAACAUUUAAGGCCCUGUAGUAUUUAAAUCCUUCACUAAACUAAAAUUAGUUAUUUUUGCCUCUGUUUUGCUGGUAAAUUGAAAAAACCCUUGCAGGCGGUCUGCAUCAUUCAACCGUGUGUAAAUAGCUUAGUUAUGAAGUGUAAAGGAUUCCAUAUAGGAAUAAAUAAUUCAGCUACAAGCCCUUCAUCAAAACAAAUAGAUGUGGCAUUUUCCAUACAUUACCCAAUUCUCUAUUUAUUCUGAGGAUGCUUUUCAAAUAAACCAUAAGGAAAAUAUAUUGUACAGCUUCAAGUACAGUGACAAGAUGGCCUUUAAAAUAUCAUUUGCCAAAAUUAAAAUAUUAGACAUCCAUCCCAUGGUGUACUUAAAUACCAGUUCCUACCUUAUCCUGAUCUGUUGUAUAGUCAUUGCUGUGUGCUGUAAAGAUACCUUUGGUAUUCCAUCCCAGAGAUGGUUGCAGUUCAGCAAUAUGUGAAAUUAUAAGAGUUACCUACUCACUAGUUAUUGUGAGGCUUAAAGGUGACCUACAAAAAAAAAAAGCAAUUGUGUGCACUUUUUUGGGGGGUAGAGGAGGCUGGUUUAUGAUAUAGGAGGGAUGUAAAUUUUUUCUGAUUAAAUUUUUAUAUUAGAAAUUCAGAUCUCAUCUACAUUGUUUUUCCCAAAAGACUAUGGACACCUGAAGUAAUAAUGUGGAAACUGAGGGGGGAAAGGAUGUGGAAGCCGAUUACAAAAACUGAAUCGAGUUUUAAACAAAUAGCUGUGUAAUCUGAAAGUCUGAGGCAACGGUUGGGAGAGAACGUCAUAUCUAACAAGCCCAACUCUUCAACAGAGGGCUAAAGUAGCUCCAACUCCUCAAGUAAAUAGGAGAGUAUAUUCCUAGAAAGGUAAAGCAAGCAGAAAAAGUUAUUUAUAAGAUACCAAUCACAACUUCUUUAUGCAUCAUUAAGCAGCAAAAAUAGGGCACAGAUCCAUUUCUUUCAUUUGCAGGUCACAGUAGUAGUUAAUUGCUUAUAUAAAGCACUUUGAUAUCCUUGCAAGAAGGUACUGAGGAAACAGUACUGUAAUCACAUUAGUAAAUACAAUAUUUUCGGGCAGAUCAUGAAGCAAUCAUUUGGAAUUUACCAUAUAAAGUAUUGUUGUAAUUUUAUCAUGCAGUCAUUUCUUUAGAUACUUGCUUCAAAGUAGUCUAAAUAAUGACGUCACAAAAUCAGAUUGCACAAUUCAUUUUACGGUAUUUGAAUAAUAAUAAUUUUCACCAGGCAGUUAAACAUGUGAACAAGCUUUCUAUUUUAGUUUCUAUUUUAGCUAGUAUGCAUCAGGAACAUCUCCACUCUCCCCUGCAUUAUAGUAAGCACUAAUACUGACUUCACCUUAUUGAUCAUAAGGGAUUUUAAUUAAAUGUAAGCGCCAAAAGGAAACAAAACAGGUAUUUUUCCCUUUUUUGCUGCAUAAUUGGGCUAAGAAAUUGUUCAAAAAGAUUUCCCCUCUCCCCCAUUACAAAUAUUAGGUCUGGGACAUCUUUUAUGAGGGAGGACUCGCAGGAUUAUAUUGCAAGAUUGAAAUCUGAGCAGUUGACAGACUAACAGUUUUGUUUUUGUUAACACCUAUGUAAUUUUUGACAUACUUGAGAGAAAAAAAAUCAAAAGAUUCAGCAUGCCUUCAUCUGAGGUCUGAGAACACAUGUACCUGUUUCCUGGUUGUCCUCAUGCAAUGAAUGUGGCAGCAAAAGCAGAGGAGACAAACCCUGUAUUCCUGCCAUUUUGCAGGUAAAAACAAGUAGAACAAAUGUUUGGAGGGAGAAAGUCAAGCUUUUUUAUAUAGAUAAUCCUUCCUGCAUAAUUAAAGUUAACUUAAUUAUUACUUUAAAACAUCUUGCCAUAUAAGGUUCUCCUCUUACCCGAGAUAGUAAAAUCUUUCAAGCAAGGAACCUGUCUAGCUAUUUUGUAAAGCAUCAUGCAAGUUAGUUAUUGUAAAGGUUAUUUUCUGAUAACAGUGGUUUUCCACUUGUGGUCCGUGGACUGGGGGUCCACAGACUAUGUUUAAGGAGUCCACAAAUGGUUGUCAUUACCAUAGAGCAGCAGUUUUCAACCUGUGGGCUGUGGACUCCUGGGGGUGUCUAAGAUUUGCAAAGGGUUCCGCACCUCCAUUUUAAACUUUUUAGGGGUCUGCAAAUUAAAAAAAGGUUGAAAAAUCACGAUUCCUGGCCACUUCAAUGGCGUAGGCUGACAGCUUGAACCAUGCAGCUUUGGACAGACAUGGGGAGAAUGAACAACAAUUUCUGUACAAGUUUUAAUUUUUAAUCGAAGAAUGACAACCUCUCAAGUACACUGUUAGUUUGAUAAGCCAGGCAAGUUACAAAAAAACUUGCAAAUUAUGCUUCACACACCUUAUAUUAGCACUGUUGCAUAUGUGUGUGUGUGUGUGUGUGUGUGUGUGUAUUAUAUAUAUAUAUGAUUACACUAUCUAUCAAAGGCCUGCCUAGCACCAUUUCUGAUAUAAGAUUAUUCUUCCAAAUAGAUUGCUUGGAAGUGAAUAUGAUGCAUGGUCCCUGGCUUUUGUCAGGCUAUUGUUUAAUUGCCAGGCGAUAAAAAGGAAACAGUGUUGUGAUUAAAGCCCAGAAGGGGAAAUGAAGAGACCUGGGUUCUAACCCAGCUGUGUUACAGACUCUCUGUUAGUCUUGGGCAAGUCACUUAAUCUCUUUGUGCCUUAGUUUCUGCAGGAAACUUUGGGGAGAGAGAGGAGAAAAAAAAAGGGCCAUGGAAAAUCAGUUAUGUAAAGUGAUUUGAGCCUUUUGGAUGAAAGGUGUUACAGAAAUAAAAGCAUUAAUAUUUAAAACCAUAAACAAAGUGUCAGCAACACGUUGUGGUUUUAAUACAACAUAACUUUCAUAAAUUCAUAGAUUCCAAGGCCAGAAGGGACCAUUGUUACCAUCUUGUCUGACCUUCUGCAUAAUAGGCCAUGGAACUUCCCCAAAAUAAUUCCUAAGGCAUAUAUUUUAGAAAAAUAUCCCAUCUUGAAAGAUCCCACAUUUAAAAACGGUCAGUGAUGGAGAAUCCACCACAAUCCUUGGUUUGGGAUCAAUGGAGUGUGUCCUGUUGCAACCUCAAUUGCCUCAAGAUGUAGCUUUUGUUCACUAAUGGAAAUAAAUUGGUAUAAAUCACAGAAUUUCGAGAUGCAAAAGACCUGUUAGGUCAUGUAGUCAUCCCCCUUGGCCACUGCAGGAUUCUUCCCUAUGAGCUCUAAUGAGAGGCACCAGCUUCUCCCAUCUCACUAGCAGAACUGGGGAAACCUAUUUGCAUGCCAAAAGCAGCAGGGACUGGGCACAAGAAUUCUGCAUCUACAAUGGUUAGCUGUGUGACGCAGUGGUUGCCACCAAUAAAGAAAAACGGAAUGAAGAGGAUGUGCAGUGUACAUUGUGUUGUGUACAUUAUUCUUCAGUUUACUAUAUGAGAAGUUUGAGUUUACAAAGGGAGUAAAAACUCUGCAUUAAUCUUGGUAUGUGCUAAAUUUGUUAAGCUUUGGAAAGUGUGUCAGUAUCUCAUUUGUCUGAAUUAAAAAAUGCAGUGAGUUUAGACAGGUAUGUUGCAGUCAAAUUAACCCAACUUACAAUUUUG